ensembl:lncRNA
AUCUGUUUCAGUGUCUGGUCACUCCUGUGAAUGCUACCAGAGUUUGUUCAGGAGUCAACAGUAACGAGACUCUCCUGUCCGCUGGACUCGUGAGCGCCCCCUGUAGUGCGGACCUGCAGCAGUACGCUUGCUCUUCGGUAAGAAGUCCAUGAAUAGAAAACUCGGUUCACAUGAGCUGAUGUUGAUGAUCAUCUAAGAACCUGAGUCCCUCCAAAUAUUCAGCAGUUUCUGGAAUCGGCAUAAUAGUUCCUGAACGUUGAUGUCCACU